rnacentral:rRNA from 1 species
GACGGAGGGGGCUAGCGUUGUUCGGAAUUACUGGGCGUAAAGGGCGCGUAGGCGGUUUGCUAAGUUGGAUGUGAAAACUCUGGGCUUAACCCAGAGCCUGCAUCCAAAACUGGCAAACUUGAGUACUGGAGGGGAAAGCGGAAUUCCUGGUGUAGCGGUGAAAUGCGUAGAUAUCAGGAGGAACACCGGUGGCGAAGGCGGCUUUCUGGACAGUAACUGACGCUGAGGCGCGAAAGCUAGGGGAGCAAACAGG